GUCUAUGGCCGUACCACACUGAACGCACCUGGUCUCGUCUGAUCCCGGAAGCUAAGCAGGGUCGGGCCUGGUUAGUAGUUGGAUGGGAGACCAUUUCCAGGACAAUGAAAGAACCUUAGAAU
rnacentral:rRNA from 1 species